CCGCAAAGGGCGCCACCGAUGCUAAAGCCACAGACGUCGUGGACAGCUUCCCUCCCUCUCCUUCUCAUCCGCCGCUGCUCGAGAACCGCGGCCAGUCCAUCUCCUGCCGGUGACCGGCCGCUCUCCUUUGUCCCGGUCUGCAAGCGGCGGAUGAGCACGCUGGCGCAUCCCAGGUUUGCCCCUCUCCCUACGGAGCAAACUGAAUCCCAAACAGAUGGCGGGGCUGCACGGUACCAGUUCCGGCUGGUCUCUUACAACAUCUUGGCCCAGGUUUAUGUUAAGAGUACGCUUUUUCCUCAUUCCCCAUCUGCGUGCCUCAAGUGGAAAUCUCGAUCGGGAGCUAUUCUUACAGAACUAAAGAGCUUUGAUGCUGACUUCAUGUGCAUACAGGAGUUGGAUGAAUAUGAUACCUUCUAUAAGAAAAACAUGGAAAACUCUGGAUAUUCAAGUAUUUACAUUCAGCGAUCUGGAGACAAACGAGAUGGCUGUGGUAUAUUCUAUAAACCUAAAAGUGCAGAACUGGUGCAGAAAGAAGUAAUACUGUACAAUGAUUUAGUAGAAAAAUAUGUUCCUAGUGAUAAUGUAAAUAGUGCUCUGGAAAAUAAUUCUUCAGCAGAAGAAGACAAGAAUGCAAAGCCAGAUAAUAGCAAGCGUGGAGAUCCAAAUGAUCCACGCGUUAGAUUGAAGCGGGACUGUGUUGGUUUACUCGCGGCUUUCAAGCUUAGUGAUCCUUGUGAUCAAAUUUUGAUUGUGGCAAACACACAUAUUUAUUGGGACCCACAAUGGAUCGAUGUAAAGUUGGCUCAGGCAAAAUAUCUUCUUUCGAGAGUAUCUCAGUUUGAGCAACUCAUCUCAAAUAAAUAUAAUUGUAAACCUUCAGUGAUCAUUGCUGGUGACUUCAAUUCGACACCUGGUGACAAGGUGAAAGAGCCACAACUUCAUCGCAAAAAGGGAUUAAGCACGCAGUCAGGCAAUAAAAAGGAGAUUAAUGAUCCUGAUCACAUAUUCAAGGGCUCAUGGCAUAUUGAGCCUAGACCACAACCUACUUGCAAUAUACUGGAGCUCAGUUUGGAGGAGAACUAUUCAGAACUAUGCUUUCUAUUGAUGGAGGUUUGGGUGUUGAGAUAUUCCAGCCCUUCCCCAAGUUCAACAUCUACCAAACAAAAACGAAAUAAAAGUACUUAAUAGUUUACUGAAUCGGACAGCAGCAACUGAAAACAAACAUAUGUCAACUACCUCCUAGCUCCUGCCAGGAGCCACCAAGAGGAUGUCCCCUUCGUCGAGCGCGGCGGCGGCUGCCUCGAACUCGACUAAGCCAAAGCUGGCCCGUCUCCCUGUCCCGCAUCACGACGACUGAGCGCACCUCGCCGAAGCGAGCGAAGUGGGCCCGCAGCUCUGCCUCCAGCCGAUGAAUAGCCUGCGGCUCUCGGCAGCCUCCUCCAUCGUCGACACACACACACACACACACAGAGAGAGAGAGAGAGAGAGAGAGAGAGAGAGAGAGAGAGAGAGAGCUAUGGUUCUGCAAGAGGGGAGGGAUGGGUGGGCUGCGGGCGUGUGCGGGUACUGGCUUCAACCUGAUGAGGACGUGCAUCUUGUGCCCACCGACGUGGGAAGGUUCAGAGCCGCAGCUGUAACAGGUCGUCGUCACGGUCGUUGACGUCGGCGACCUGGGUGUCACCGAGCACAUGGUCGACAGCGAGGGGGGUGGUUGUCGGAGGCUGUGACACUCGACGAGGCGGGCUAGUGUAACGAGCUGAACACGGGCGACGACGGGGAGCCAAGGACGUGGGCGACGACAACGCGUUGUCGGUAGCGAGGGGAUGCAGUGGUCGGAGGAGGUUCCCCACGGCGAGGCGGGCUGGUGGAGCGAAACGCGAAGAGGCCGCGAAAUGCGGGGAGGGGCGCGAUGAGGCGGAGCCGGUGGGAGAGAGGGAGAUAGAGACGAACGACUCACGGCGGUGGUGCUCGGGAGGCCAGGAGGGACGACGUGGGAGAGAGAAGUCCGAGAGGAGAGAGGUUUGGACCUGUGCGGUGGCCAUGUCUAGAGAGCAGAAAUUUCACGUCCGUCGAUAGCAAGAUUUCGCGUCCGCGUGCGUGGACCCACGAAGGACGCCCGUCGUGUGAUGGAUGACGCGUAGCCCGCCGAACCCUGAGAGGCACCCAAAACCGAGUGACUUUAGAUUAGAAAGGGAACCUCCGUGCAUAGCAACUCACAUAUUGGUUUCGUGACACAACACACUCUGUUAACCAGUUUUGAUUUUGGGUUCAAUACAACUCUGUUCCAUCCCAUCUGAUUAAAUACUACAAUUUUCAGGUAUACAAUUACCUUUUAUCUGCCAACCUAGGAUCUACGGACGAAGCUCCAAUCAAGUUACGCAGCCUUUAUGCUGCGAAUGGAGGGGAGCCAGAGUACACAAACUACACUCCUGGUUUUACCGGAACACUGGACUACAUAUUCUUGUCGGAUGGUAGUUCGAUAAAACCUACUAGCCUACUUCGUUUGCCGCGAGGGGAUUCUGAGGAUGUGAAAGGAGGCUUGCCCAACUUUCGACAUCCUAGCGAUCAUCUCCCAAUUGGUGCUGAUUUUCUGGUAGUCAACAUCUAGUGCAGGUGUUGAUUGCUUUUUCAACAGAAAUAGUAAAUGCCGUUGAAUAAUUUGUGUUGUUGGCUCAAGUUUCAGAGUUUAAAUGUAAUAUCUCAAGGAACAAGCGUUUCUUUUCUUGUAGAGCAAUUAACAAUGCGAAUUUUAUUCAUCAAUUUUAAUAUAAUAGGAGUAUUGUCUAUGGGCAUUGAA